CAGGAAUCCUGACUCGCUCACCCGGCCUUUGUCUUUCCUGCCCUCUCCCGACACUUUAUGUCAGGAAGCUUGGGGUCUCGCCACAUCGACGCUGGGCCCACCGAUCUCAUCCCCAGGCCUCGCCGGGCGCUCCAGGGCGCUUUAUUGGCUUCGGAUUUAUGGGAGCGUGGACACGCGCUCGCCACGCACAGCGGGCCUGACUGGAAAGCAAACAAUAGCGCGGCCACCCAUUGAUAUGACAAUUGAUGGCUACCCCCCUACAAAAACUUUCCCCUUUGC